AACGAACGCUGGCGGCAGGCUUAACACAUGCAAGUCGAGCGCCCUGCAAGGGGAGCGGCAGACGGGUGAGUAACGCGUGGGAAUCUACCGAGCCCUAAGGAAUAGCUCCGGGAAACUGGAAUUAAUACCUUAUACGCCCUUUGGGGGAAAGAUUUAUCGGGGUUUGAUGAGCCCGCGUUGGAUUAGCUAGUUGGUGGGGUAAAGGCCUACCAAGGCGACGAUCCAUAGCUGGUCUGAGAGGAUGAUCAGCCACAUUGGGACUGAGACACGGCCCAAACUCCUACGGGAGGCAGCAGUGGGGAAUAUUGGACAAUGGGCGCAAGCCUGAUCCAGCCAUGCCGCGUGAGUGAUGAAGGCCCUAGGGUUGUAAAGCUCUUUCACCGGUGAAGAUAAUGACGGUAACCGGAGAAGAAGCCCCGGCUAACUUCGUGCCAGCAGCCGCGGUAAAAC
rnacentral:rRNA from 1 species